rnacentral:misc_RNA from 1 species
GUAAGGGUUUUAGGCUAAUUAGAAGUAAGACAUAAAGUUUGCAUUAUGAGUUUAGCUUUCGUAGAAGGAAUGUAAGUGAAGUUCAUUGGAUGAAUUUUUAUAGCCAAAAUGCAACCAAUUCAUUUAUUUAGGUUCUAUCAUUAAUAAUAACAAAGUAAUAAUAAGGAUGUAACUUACAGGAUCAAAACAUGGAUGAAGUGAGGAGUGCAAUGGGUAUGCUAUGCGACUGUAGCAUCUUUGACAAAGUGAAAAGGCAAGUUUUAUAAAACUGGCCUGGUAUAUUGUAUGGGAGUGAAUGCUGAGCAUUUAAGGUACAAUAAAAAAAGAAGUGACCUAGUGCACAAAGUAUCUCACACUUGUAGGCUCUAGGGAGGAUUAAUUAAGUGUGCUAGAAAAACAGAUAUUAAGAUAGAUGUUUGGUAAUAUAAUAAUGGAUAAAAAUUAGGAAUGACCAUAUUAGCCAGAGAAUGCAUGUAGCACACAUUGGAGAUGAAAUGAGAGAUGAUCCAUUAAGAUGGUUUAGUCAUGCCUAAUGUAGGCCUUUGAGUGUCCUAAUAUGGAAGUGUCAUAAGUUUAGUGGUAAAAUUAGUGAAAAGGGAAAAGAGAGACCUAAAAUGAUGUGGAGGGCAGCAUAGUUGUCAAAAGUGCGCUUGAGGCGCAUGGCGCAUCGAGCUUGAAGGGGAUCACCUCAGGCACCAAAAGGCGGGUGACCUCACAAAGGCGCAGAGAGGGGCAAGGCACGCUUAGGUGAGGUGGGGGAAGAAAAAGACCAAAAAGAUGAAAAAAGGAG